UACAGAGGGUGCAAGCGUUGUUCGGAAUUAUUGGGCGUAAAGGGCGCGUAGGCGGUGCGGUAAGUCCGCAGUGAAAUCUCUGGGCUCAACUCAGAGUCUGCUGUGGAAACUGCCGUGCUUGAGUGUGGGAGAGGUGAGUGGAAUUCCCGGGUGUAGCGGUGAAAUGCGUAGAUAUCGGGAGGAACACCUGUGGCGAAAAGCGGCUCAC
rnacentral:rRNA from 1 species